CAGUGUUUAGUUUAUAUAAAAUAUAAUAUUUGGGUUAUUAAGAUUUAGAGUCA
rnacentral:tRNA from 1 species